UGACCACACCGGCCUGAGUACGCCUGAUCUCGUCUGAUCUCGGAAGCUAAGCAGGGUCGGGCCUGGUUAGUACUUGGAUGGGAGACUUCCUGGGAAUACCAGGUGCUGUAAGCU
ensembl:rRNA 5S_rRNA 5S ribosomal RNA